CAAGUAAAACUGUUGGCAAAAUUUCAAUCCAGUUUUCAUUUGCGUGACACAUAAUAGCACUCUUCAAUGUACGGUGCCAUCGUUCCAGAAUACCAUUAGAAGCCGGAUGAUAAGCUGAGGUUCUAAUACGCUCGCAACCAAUUAGGUUGGUGAGAGCCUUAAAUAAUGCAGCUUCAAAUUGAGGACCUUGGUCGGUUGUGAUCGUCUGUGGAGCACCAUACCUCGCAACCCAGUGCGUAUAAAAAGCUGUAGAAACAGUAUCAGCUGAAAUUUCAGUAAGAGGGAUUGCUUCCGGCCAUCUAGAAAAUCUGUCAAUCAUGGUUAAACAAUAACGAAAAUUUUGACAAAUAGGAAGAGGUCCAAUCAAAUCUAGAUGAAUAUGCUGAAAACGCUGAUCUGGAAUAGCAAUCUUUUGAGGAAGAUUCUUGUUUGCAGGUAGAACGACCACUUGGAUGAGAUAAACCAUGAACAACAUCAAAAAUUUUCCUACGAAGCUGUUGAGGUACAUAAGGACGGAUAUUAACAGUAGAGCAGUCACAGAAAAUAGGCGUAGUCGAGCCAAGAAACUAUGAUAGGCAUCGAAACGGAUUCAAUUCUAGAGAGUGAAUCUGCAACUACAUUUUGUUUACCAGAUAUAUGCUCGAUGUUUGUUGAAAAUUGAGCAAUGAAAUCAAGAUGUCGGAUCUGUCUGGGUGAAGAUUUAUCCGAUUUUUGUUGAAAAGCAUAAAUUAAAGGUUUAUGAUCUGUCCGAAUAAGAAUCUGACGUCCUUCAAGUAUGUACCUGAAAUGCUUGAUGGCUAAAUAAAUACCAAGAAGUUCACGAUCAUGCACCAACUGCAAAAUCCGAUGCGUCACAAGUGAGGAUAAGAGGUACAGUUGAAGCCGGAUGCGCUAAAGUUGUGACUCGUAAGAGUUCUUCUUUGCAAUUUUUGAAAGCUUCUUCAGCUUCAGAAGUCCAAGUGACUAACCUUUUAUCCCUUUUUCUGCUAUCCUUAAGAUAAUCCGUAAGAACUGCCUGAUGUGAUGCAGCAUUUUUCAGACAACGACGAUGUCGGUUUAAUUCCUUGCUUGGAAACUAAAUAGCCAAGGAAAGAAAUUUCAUCCUUACCAAAGAGACAUUUGGACAAAUUAAUCGUCAUGCCGAAUUGUUUAAGCCGAGAAAACACAGUAUGAAGAUGUUUGGCAUGUUCUUUCUCAUU